UACAGAGACUGCAAGCGUUAUUCGGAUUCACUGGGCGUAAAGGGUGCGCAGGCGGCCGUGUGUGUGAGGCGUGAAAGCCCGGGGCUUAACCCCGGAAUUGCACCUCAAACUACCUGGCUAGAGGGUUGGAGGGGGACUGGAAUGCUUGGUGUAGCAGUGAAAUGCGUAGAUAUCAAGCGGAACACCAGUGCGAAGGCGGAGUCCCUGGACAACUCCUGACACUGAUGCACGAAAGCUAGGGGAGCAAACAGG
rnacentral:rRNA from 1 species